UGGGCACUUCAGGGCGGGUCUGCAGGCUGCUUUUGUAAACUUUCUGUAAAGAAUGCAGUCGCAGUCAGAGAACAGGUGACUUAUAUGGUGGCUGGUUGUUAGGAACCCAUAACAGUAGUCAAAGAAACGGCUCAGCUGUGAUGCAAAGCCCUCUCCGUGCCCCUAGUCUGAGAAUGUAUUUGGGCACGAUGACUUUUCGCAGUCCUGGCCCCUCCAAAGCCUCACACAGAAAGAUGAAGCCACGACGCACGCUUGCUCCUUUAAAACCGUGAGCCACACGCAUGCGUGCGUUCAGGUGCUUCCUGCCUUUACCACACAGUUCUCUCUGCUGGUGGGAGGAUUCCAGUCAAAGCUUCCAUUGCUACAGAAUCAUACAUUUUCCAUCUGGAACAAAUCUUUAACAUAACCCAGUGUCCUCAUCUGCUAGGGAGAAAAAAACCAAGCUUGUGUUCUAGAGAGGAAGAAACACACCCAGGAUCUCACAGUUAGUAGUCAGAACCAGGGUCUAUCUGUGGCCUGCCUCAUGGUAGCUAUGUGAUAGUUAAGAAAGAUAGGGUUUUUAAAGAAGUAUUUAUUAAUAUAUUCCUAUAAAACAUUUUAAAGGAAGCCACAUAAAAAUGGUUAAUGUUUCCUUUCUAAGUAAAUGCUAAGCAUGCUUAUUAACGAAGCAGCACUGAUGGGUAGGUGGCAUCUGAAGCUAAUUUAAGUCAUUAUGUUGAAUGUCUUCCUUGGUGCCAUGGGACAUAGGGACACAGAACAUUUGCAUAAGCCCAGGAACCCAUCUUCCGUGAUGUGAGACCAGAGCCUCAGCAAGGUCUACACUAUGUAUGUGAGAGCAUCUCCCAGCAGAUGGAAGGAACUGGAAACAUCCCGACUGUGGCCUUUCCAGCCCCAACCCCCCCCCCUCCUAUCUGCCCUCCUGACCUUCUACAAGUCCCUUGCAGACACAGGAGCUGUGUUUGUGUGUUUGGUUUUGAGUAACCCUAAUACAAAUUUAUGUUGUUUUAAGCAAACUUGGGAAUUGGGUUGGGUGGAGGUCUUUGAGUUAAGCACUUAAAGUGCCUGCUGUCUCAGCACUGACCUGUGCAGACCUGCAUGCCUCUCCAGUAAGCGCACGGGGCUCCUCCUCUUCAGCCCCACGGCUUUUAAUCGUGUGAUGUGAAGCAUUAGUUCGCUGCAUUUUAUUACAGGUUCUUGGUUGCAAUAAAGAUGCUGCUGAAAUC
rnacentral:lncRNA from 1 species